ACACACACACACACACACACACACACACACACACACUGGCAGGACUCAGCAUCGGGACAGAGGCAGAUGUUCCAGAGCUCAGGACAACGUGCAUUAAGGAGCUGCUUCUCUUAAACAUACUGAUCAAAAUAUUAACGCUCUGGGUCCCUGGCAGCAGCGUGUUCUGUCAGAAACCAUCACAGAAGACUUCAGCAGCUUCAUCAGUUGUCAUGUGCAAAGUCCCCUUAAAAACUGCAGCUACAGAAGGAAGGUUUAACUGCUGUCAUCUACCGCCACACGGCCUCAGCUCGCUGUGGAGCGAGUGCUUGGAACAGAUGUGAAGCCUAAAGACUGAUUCAAGAAUCUGUUGUGAACAAUCAUCCUAACAUUAAAG